AGAAUCAACGCUGGCGGCGCGCCUAACACAUGCAAGUCGAGCGAGAAAGCAGGAGCAAUCUUGUGAGUAAAGCGGCGUACGGGUGAGUAACACGUGGAUUAUCUACCUCUUUGUGGGGAAUAACUCUGGGAAACCGGGGCUAAUACCGCAUAAGUCCGAGAGGAGAAAGCAGCAAUGCGCAGAGAGAGGAGUCCGCGGCCGAUUAGUUAGUUGGCAGGGUAAAAGCCUACCAAGACAAAGAUCGGUAGCCGGCCUGAGAGGGCAGACGACGACACUGGCACUGAAACAGGGCCAGACUCCACGGGAGGCAGCAGUGGGGAAUCUUGCACAAAUGGGGGGCAAACCCUGAAUGCAGCGACGCCGCGUGAGCGAGUAGAAGACCGUCGGGU
rnacentral:rRNA from 1 species